rnacentral:rRNA from 1 species
GACGAACGCUGGCGGCGUGCUUAACACAUGCAAGUCGAACGGAAAGGCCCUGCUUGCAGGGUACUCGAGUGGCGAACGGGUGAGUAACACGUGGGUGAUCUGCCCUGCACUUCGGGAUAAGCUUGGGAAACUGGGUCUAAUACCGGAUAGGAACCAUCUUUAGUGUGGUGGUUGGAAAGUUUUUUCGGUGUAGGAUGAGCUCGCGGCCUAUCAGCUUGUUGGUGGGGUAAUGGCCUACCAAGGCGGCGACGGGUAGCCGGCCUGAGAGGGUGUACGGCCACAUUGGGACUGAGAUACGGCCCAGACUCCUACGGGAGGCAGCAGUGGGGAAUAUUGCACAAUGGGCGCAAGCCUGAUGCAGCGACGCCGCGUGGGGGAUGAAGGCCUUCGGGUUGUAAACCCCUUUCGCUAGGGACGAAGCUUUGUUGUGACGGUACCUAGAUAAGAAGCACCGGCUAACUACGUG